rnacentral:rRNA from 1 species
UACGAAGGGGGCUAGCGUUGCUCGGAAUUACUGGGCGUAAAGGGCUCGUAGGCGGCCAACUAAGUCAUACGUGAAAUCCCUCGGCUUAACCGGGGAACUGCGUCUGAUACUGGAUGGCUUGAGAUUGGGAGAGGGAUGCGGAAUUCCAGGUGUAGCGGUGAAAUGCGUAGAUAUCUGGAGGAACACCGGUGGCGAAGGCGGCAUCCUGGACCAACACUGACGCUGAGGAGCGAAAGCCAGGGGAGCAAACAGG